UCGGGAAUUUUGCCCAAUGGACGAAAGUCUGAGGCAGCAACUCCGCGUGAGGGAUGAAGGCCUUCGGGUCGUAAACCUCUUUUCCCAGGGAAGAUCCAAGACGGUACCUGGGGAAUAAGCCACGGCUAACUACGUGCCAGCAGCCGCGGUAAUACGUAGGUGGCGAGCGUUGUCCGGAUUUACUGGGCGUAAAGCGCGCGCAGGCGGCCGGCCAAGUCCGAUGUGAAAUCUUCCGGCUUAACUGGAAAACGGCAUCGGAUACUGGUCGGCUGGAAGGUGGGAGAGGGUAGCGGAAUUCCCGGUGUAGUGGUGAAAUUCGUAGAUAUCGGGAGGAACACCAGUGGCGAAAGCGGCUACCUGGCCCACUAUUGACGCUGAGGCGCGAAAGCUAGGGGAGCGAACGGG
rnacentral:rRNA from 1 species